UACAGAGGUCUCAAGCGUUUGUUCGGAUUCAUUGGGCGUAAAGGGUGCGUAGGUGGUGGGGUAAGUCGGAUGUGAAAUCCCGGGGCUCAACCCCGGAACUGCAUUCGAUACUGCCGGGCUUGAGGGCGGGAGGGGUGAUUGGAACUCCAGGUGUAGCGGUGAAAUGCGUAGAUAUCUGGAGGAACACCGGAGGCGAAGGCGAAUCACUGGACCGCUUCUGACGCUGAGGCGCGAAAGCUAGGGGAGCAAACAGGG
rnacentral:rRNA from 1 species